rfam:Solanum tuberosum cultivar DM 1-3 516 R44 scf00177_34, whole genome shotgun sequence.
CCGACCUUAGCUCAGUUGGUAGAGCGGAAGACUGUAGUAGUGGCUGUAAUCUUUAGGUCGCUGGUUCGAAUCCGGCAGGUCGGA